rnacentral:rRNA from 1 species
GAAUAUUGGACAAUGGGGGAAACCCUGAUCCAGCAAUGCCGCGUGAAUGAUGAAGGCCUUAGGGUUGUAAAGUUCUUUCACCUGUGACGAUAAUGACGGUAGCAGGAGAAGAAGCCCCGGCUAACUCCGUGCCAGCAGCCGCGGUAAGACGGAGGGGGCUAGCGUUGUUCGGAAUGACUGGGCGUAAAGGGCGCGUAGGCGGUUUUUUAAGUGAGGCGUGAAAGCCCUGGGCUUAACCCAGGAGGUGCGUUUCAUACUGGAAGACUUGAGUACGAGAGAGGUAAGUGGAAUUCCUAGUGUAGAGGUGAAAUUCGUAGAUAUUAGGAAGAACACCAGUGGCGAAGGCGGCUUACUGGCUCGUAACUGACGCUGAGGCGCGAAAGCGCGGGGAGCAAACAGG